AAUUCCAUGCAAGAGUGAACAAGGACCCUCUGUGGAAGCGGUGGUCUGACACAAGCAUUUCUGGAUGACGCUGAACCUGCUUACAACUCCCUGCUGCUGUCAGGCAGAACAUUCUCCAAACCGCAUGAAUUUGGAAGUCUGGACACUUCAGGCAUCAUCAGGUUUAUGGUUUUGUCAUAACCCUGCUGAAAGUCCUUUACCAUCUCCAGGCCUCCAUUUAUUUUCUAUAAAAUAAGGAGUUUGGAAUGGCACUGUGUUGAUAUUCUCCAGUUUUGUGAAACAUCGUACUCAACAAUCGCGAGCAGGCAUUUUACAGACCUUGCUUUCCUAGACCUGCUCAAGUAGAACAUUCAGGAAUCUGGGCUGUAAAGGCAGGAUAUAAAUUCAAGUCCACAUGCUAUGGAGAAAUCAGAGGUUUCGAAAGUAUCUCCGUGACUGUUUUUGAAGUCACAGCUAAUAAUUCACCGUCUGACACUCCGGGGCUUGCCUGGAUCUAAAAAUAGUUGUUCCCCCGAGCUGGUCGGGGAACUGGCUGAGAAGGGAGGGAGCUGCGUGGAACACAUUCUGAACCAUCAGGAAACCCAAAGCAAAAUCGAAUCUUGCCACCUAAGAUUUGAUUAUUAAAAGAUGGAUUUGACAGCUGAUUCCCCAUUAAUUACAUUUGUAAAGAUAUUUGAAAGACAGGAAUGAAAUGACAGUGGCCCUGACACAGUCCUUGGGGUUUAAGACGGAGUCUGACAUUGUAUCUGUCUCCGGUUCUGCAGCAGCUUAGCGACAUCAGAGACAAUUGAAGCAAAGGGCCCACUUAUGGCUGACAGCUGACCCUGC
rnacentral:lncRNA from 1 species